CUUUCUCACUCAAAAUGAACAAACGGCGACGGCGCCUUCACUCCCCCCGAUCGAUUCUCGCCGCCGCUAACCAAAUCGGACGGAGCACACGCUCUUCGUCGCAUCUCCCAUCUCCGAUUCAAAACUCCCCUUUCCGAUUUGAACUUCUGUCUCACUCUCACUUCCGAUCUGACUCAUCUCUUCGUUCACCUCCGCCAUUGAAGAAUAAAGACGCCAAAACUCGGACGUAACAUGCUCUCAUAAUAUCGCACAGAUGGUAAUGAUUGAAACCGCAAACGAAUUCAAGGCAUACCUGGAAAGAAGAUCGCAAGCGAAAGAGUAGAAGAGGUUCCAGAUGCUCAGGUUGGAAUAUGGCAAGGGCUUGAAGAGUGGAUAGGAAGCAAAGCAAAACAUCAUUUUGGAUUAGUUUAGGAGCUGUUGGUAAGUGAUUGUGGAAAAGGUUAGGACUUAAAAUUCUGUUACUACUAUUUUGGUGGCUAAAAAAAUCGGUUAAGGGUUGGUUUGAAAUCAAUUGGUUAGAAAAUGAAUUAGUGACAGGUUAUAGGUUAGAAUGCUAGAAUUUUCUGUGAUGGUGGAUAUUCUGUUAUGAUGGUUAUAUGGUUUUGGGUUUGAUUCUGUAGGUGAUCUGAAUAUUAUUAGUACGAAGCUAAUUCUGUUUUGGUGGUCACUGUGUUGCUGCAAGGACUGUUUUUCUUGUUUAACAAUCUUUUGCUGUAUGAUGCUUUAAGCUUAGAUGCUGAACUGGUUCGAUUUGUUGCUUUUACUGCAGGUACAACUUUUGUCGAAUAUGCGGCGGUUCCUCUGAAGCACUUUGUGAUGCAGGGUGCCUUACUUUGGUUCUGUUAUGUGGAGAUUGGAAAGGUUAGAACCGCUACGUACAGGAACUGUAAACUGAAUGGCAUGGUUGUUAGGUAUGAAGAAAUGAAGAUGGAUGCAGGUGUGAAUUGUGUUGGUGAUCGGUUUUUGUGAUUGACUGGUGAUGAUGCAGGUCAGGAGCAAGCUUUAGACAAAGGUUUGAUGGCAUGGAAAUCUACAAACUUGGCAUUAGCUCAUGAAGGGCAAGGUUUGUGAGUCAUGGGAACUUAAGGCUUGGUGAUUAAAACUCGAAGACGGGACAAGGAUGGAGCUAAGGCUUGGUUGCGAGACAACUUUUUGUAUUUAAAUGGUGUAAUGUGCAAUUGUAUUCUUGUAAUGGAAAUUGUAUAGUCUUGAAAUAUUUGAAGUGUCAUGGAAUGUAUUUUGAACUUUUUGUAAUGAUCCUUCAUAGUGAAAUUGGACUAUAAUAUCUC